ACACUGCACCCCCACUGCACCCCAGCCCCCCCCAGGCACCUGCAGCCCCAGCACUGUCACCGUGAGCUCACGGACACCGUGACGGGGACGUGGGGGCACCAUCACUGGGGGCACGGGGACACCCCAUGACACCAACGGUGUCCCUGGGGCACGGGGGGGGGGCGGGGGGGGGGACACGACAUGGGGGAGAAGCGCGUCUCUGUGUGUGUGUGUUCAUGUGUCCCCCUGUGUGUCCCGUGUCUGUGUGUGUGUAUAUCCACGUCCGUGUGUCCGUGUCUGUGUGUGUUUCCGUGUGUGUCCAUGUCUCUGUGUGUUCCUCUGUGUGUCCACAUCUGUGUGUUCCCGUGUGUCCCUGUGUCUGUGUGUGUGUACAUCCACGUCCGUGUGUCCGUUUCUGCCUGUGUUCCUGUCUGUCCGUGUCUCUGUGUGUUCCCAUGUGUGUCCGUGUCUGCGUGUGUUUCCGUGUGUGUCCAUGUCUCUGUGUGUGUCCCCGUGUCUGCGUGUGUUCCCGUGUGUGUCUGUGUCUGUGUGUUCCCGUGUGUGUCUUGUGUCUGUCUGUGUGUAUAUCCAUGUCUGUGUGUCCGUACCUGCGUGUGUUCCUGUGUGUCCCUGGGUCUGUGUGUGUUCCCAUGUGUGUCCGUGUAUCUGUGUCCCCACACGUGUCUCCAGGUGUACCCAUCUGCCCGUGUUUGUCUGUCUGUCCAUGUUCUUGCAUGUCCCUCUGUCCGUGUGUAUCCAUGUGUGUCCAUCUGCCCCCAUGUCCCCGUGUGUGUCCGUGCGUGUCUGUCUGUCCCCAUGUGUGUCCGUGUGUAUGCACGCAUCCAUGUGUCCCCGUGCAUGUCUGUGUGUGUGUCCAUGUGUCCAUGUUCCCAUGUGUGUCCGUGUGUCCCCGUGUGUGUGUGUCCGUGUUCCUGUGUGUCCGUGUGUCCUGGUGCAUGUCGGUGUGUCUGUGUGCAUGUCCAUGUNNNNNNNNNNNNNNNNNNNNNNNNNNNNNNNNNNNNNNNNNNNNNNNNNNNNNNNNNNNUGUGUGUGUCCGUGGGUCCUGGUGUGUGUUGGUGUGUCUGUCCAUGUUUCUAUGUGUCCGUGUGUCCUGGUGUGUCUGUGUGCAUGUGUGUGUGUGUGUGUGUGUGCAGGUCGGUGUGUCUGUGUGCAGGUCUGUGUGUCGGUGUGUCGCGGUGUGUGUCGGUGUGUCUGUGUGCGUGUCGGGGUGUGUGUGUGCAUGUCGGUGUGUCCGUGUGUGUGUCGGUGUGCCUGUGUGCGUGUUGGUGUGUCCGUGUGUAUGUCGGUGUGUCUGUGCGUGUCGGUGUGUGUCUGUGUGUGGGUCCGUGUGAUCCGGUGCGUGUCGGGGUGUGUGUGCGCGCGUGUCAGUGUGUCCGUGUGUGUGUCGGUGUGUCUGUGUGCGGGUCCAUGUGUCCGUGUGCAUGUUGGUGUGUCCGUGUUGUCGGUGUGUCCAUGUGUGUGUCGGUGUGUCCGUGUGUGUGUGGGUGUGUCUGUGUGCGGGUCUGUGUGUCCUGGUGCAUGUCGGUGUGUCCUGGUGCAUGCCGGUGUGUCUGUGUGUCCCGGUGCGUGGUGGUGUGUCCGUGUGUGGGUCCGUGUGUCCGUGUGCGUGUCCGUGUGUCCGUGUGCGUGUCGGUGUGUCGGUGUGCGUGUCGGUGUGUGGGUCCGUGUGUCCGUGUGUCCGUGUGCGUGCGGCCCCGCGUGUGCCGGGUACGUGCCGGCAGCCGGGACGGGCUGUUCCUGUCCCUGGCGCGGUGCCCGGGGGCCGCGGCCGGGGGACACGGGAAGGGGAGGGGGGAGCGGGAAGGAGGGGGGGGGGGGGGGGGGGGGG
ensembl:lncRNA